rnacentral:rRNA from 1 species
AAUUCGCCCUUAGAGUUUGAUCCUGGCUCAGAUUGAACGCUGGCGGCAUGCCUUACACAUGCAAGUCGAACGGUAACGCGGGGCAACCUGGCGACGAGUGGCGAACGGGUGAGUAAUAUAUCGGAACGUGCCCAGUCAUGGGGGAUAACUGCUCGAAAGAGCAGCUAAUACCGCAUACGACCUGAGGGUGAAAGCGGGGGAUCUUCGGACCUCGCGCGAUUGGAGCGGCCGAUAUCAGAUUAGGUAGUUGGUGGGGUAAAGGCCUACCAAGCCGACGAUCUGUAGCUGGUCUGAGAGGACGACCAGCCACACUGGGACUGAGACACGGCCCAGACUCCUACGGGAGGCAGCAGUGGGGAAUUUUGGACAAUGGGGGCAACCCUGAUCCAGCCAUGCCGCGUGCGGGAAGAAGGCCUUCGGGUUGUAAACCGCUUUUGUCAGGGAAGAAAUCCUUUGGGCUAAUAACUCGGAGGGAUGACGGUAC